UGAGGUCAGGGUUAGGGGGUUGUAGACGGAAGCAAUGCCUUCCACUUCCAGAUGUUGUCACGGGCCCCCGCGUGGUCCACACUCCCUGUUCCUGUGCGGUGACCAAGGCGGCCACUCACGUCAGUAGGAAGGGCUCAGGGAUGUGAGGAGCCUGGGUCUUGGUGUGACCACUAGGAGGAGCAUUGCCAAGAAGAGCUGCCCGGACCACACUCGACUGUGAUAUAAACAAGAAACAAACCUUUCCGCAAACCUAUGAGAUGUGAGUGUGUUUUCUACUGCAGCAGAACCUACACUAUCCCAGUGCAGGAAGCGCUCAUUGCAAAUGGAGGUUAUCUUGUUGAUUUUUGGUUAAACUUCUCAUGUCACGUUUUCUGACAACACCUUCCAUUGUACCAUCUGUUUCUGAACAAUACCUGGGACAUUGCAAACUUGUUCUGCAAGAAUACCCUGGGUCUCAGUGUGUGUGACAAGGGAUGGAAGUAGAUACGUGGUCUUGCUAUGUUGCC
rnacentral:lncRNA from 1 species